UACGUAGGGUGCAAGCGUUGUCCGGAAUUAUUGGGCGUAAAGAGCUCGUAGGCGGUUUGUCGCGUCUGCUGUGAAAACUCGGGGCUUAACCCCGGGCCUGCAGUGGGUACGGGCAGACUAGAGUGCGGUAGGGGAGACUGGAAUUCCUGGUGUAGCGGUGGAAUGCGCAGAUAUCAGGAGGAACACCAGCGGCGAAGGCGGCUUUCUGGUCCGAUACUGACGCUGAGGUGCGAAAGCGUGGGGAGCGAUCCGG
rnacentral:rRNA from 1 species